CCUACGGGAGGCAGCAGUAGGGAAUUUUCCACAAUGGGCGAAAGCCUGAUGGAGCAACGCCGCGUGCAGGAUGAAGGCCUUCGGGUCGUAAACUGCUUUUAUAUGUGAAGAUUUUGACGGUAGCAUAUGAAUAAGGAUCGGCUAACUCCGUGCCAGCAGCCGCGGUAAU
rnacentral:rRNA from 1 species